CUCCGCCCCUCCCCCAUGCACAGAAGAGGGGCAUAAAGUGGGAUUUUCCUCCACACGAAAGGAAGGACUCUUCCUUCCUUUCUGCUUUCCUGCCGUCCAUCUAAAUCUGGCCACGGAAAGAGUAUGGACGUGCCCUCAGGUUAAAAUGGAGAUACUGAGGCCCAAGGAGGUGGCAGGGUAGACUGGGCCACAUGGGGGCUUCCAGGACGGGGACACUGAGCAAGCACAGCUUCUUACCGUCAUCCAGCUCUUUGGCUCAAGGCAGUCUGUUGUUGGAUGACCGUGGGGUAAGAGCCGGGGCUCAGCCUCUGACCUUGGUUGAUGGAUGGUGGAACGGGCCUGGCAGAGCUGGGGCCCAAGUUUUCACAGUACAUGAUAUGCUGGAACUCCUGGUGCCCCCCGCCACGGAGCUGCUGGUUUGUGGACACUGUCCAACUCAGUCAGCCAUGUCAGUCUUCACUACCAACUCGGCAGGAUCUAGAGUCACCCAGGAGACACACCUCUGGGUGUGCCUGUGAAGGAGUGUGGGGUGAGCAUGAAGACCCACCCUGAGUGAGGACAGUGUCAUCCCAUGGGCUGGGCUCCUAGAUUGAAUAAAAAGCAUCUGUCUCUCUGUUUCCUGAUUGUGAUGCACAGUGACCAGCCGCCUCUCACUCCUGUCCUACUUCCCCACUGUGAAAGGCGGUACCUCCUCUAAAGGUCAAAAGAAAACCUUCGUCCCGCACAUUGCUUUUGCUGGGUAUUGAUCAUAGCAAGGAGAGAAACAGGCAACCCCUGCCCAACACCUCCAUCACCAGGUUUGGGAGGGGGGGACAACUUCACUAAUGGGCAAGAGGAUUGUUGCCAAGUGUGCGUGGGGCAGCCUCCGAGAGUCAGGAUUGGAGGAGGUGAGCAGGGCUACAGUUCUGACUCCAGGUCCCCAAGACCACUUCUGCAAAUUCCAUUCAAAGGCCAGCACCGCAGUUCUGGACAGCUAGAGACCCGAGGGGUGGACCUUCUGAGGCCCUGCUCCACCAGCCCAGCACUGACACUCAGCCCAGGGAGGCCUUGCUACUGCAGACACCUGGAGGACACCAGAAAGCAGAGGACACAGCCUCCUUGUUGAAACCCAAAGCUCUGCAUUGGGCCAGGUUCUCCCUGCAGCUUUGGGGCCUAUGGGAUGCCACGUCUGCUCCCGACAGCACAUCACAUCAGUCCUCAUGGUGGCAUCCUCACAGGAAUCACACAAGUGCACCUUGAGGAAGCUGGGCCCACCCAGAAUUUCGUGAAUGAGACCUGGUCUGGCUGUGCCUCAAGUAACUCCACCCACGUGAGGACAGUCAAGGACCCUGGGAAUUCUAGAGCAUGUCCACCUUGACCCUGAAUGUGAUCAAACCUAAGACAGGGGGGACAGCAAGAGACAUCUGCUUAGCAAAUGCCCUGUCCCCACCAAGGACACCACGGAUGACACGGCACCUGGCAUCAGUGUGUUACACGGGGAGCUAUCUCACAGGGAAGUGCCUUCCAACACAGGAGAAAACUGAGGCUCAGAGGGCGGGAGUCACUUGCCGCAGGUAACCCAGCUGGCAGCAGACCUGGGAAUCCCGAGCCCUUGGUCAGUGUUGUCUGGGAACCUGAGGGUGUCAGGGAGAAGGUCUCACCUGGGUGGUAGGUAAAGUGUUGUGGCUGACUUCGUUUUCUCUUUCCAUUGAUGACGUAGAAGUUCACUUUCACGGGUACGCGGAUGUGCUUGUUCCGAUACUCGGGGAUCUCAACGAAAAGCAUGUUCUAGAAGGAAGCAGUUGACAUGAACUUGACCAUAUACAGCAUGCUGGGGUUCCUACCGAGGUCCCAACCAAGUCCACCCAGGCCCACCUACAGCAAGCAGGCCGUCUGGCUUCCUUCCCUACAUUUAAAGAGAAAUUUGAUUGAAGGGAAUUUAACCUUUUACCUCAGCAAGGGAAGUUGAUCUAGCAAAGUGUGUAAAGAUGUCACGGUCACAAACCAAAGGGCCUGGGGCUCAGUAAGUGGCCAGCUCUCUAAGUGCAGUGUGUACUUGCUGAGUUCACUAUGAAGUUCACUAUGGAGAGGA